rnacentral:rRNA from 1 species
CAGCAGCCGCGGUAAUACGUAGGGUGCAAGCGUUAAUCGGAAUUACUGGGCGUAAAGCGUGCGCAGGCGGUUAUAUAAGACAGAUGUGAAAUCCCCGGGCUCAACCUGGGAACUGCAUUUGUGACUGUAUAGCUAGAGUACGGCAGAGGGGGAUGGAAUUCCGCGUGUAGCAGUGAAAUGCGUAGAUAUGCGGAGGAACACCGAUGGCGAAGGCAAUCCCCUGGGCCUGUACUGACGCUCAUGCACGAAAGCGUGGGGAGCAAACAGGAUUAGAUACCCGUGUAGUCCCUGUCUCUUUACA